CCCGGGCCGGGCUGCAGGGAGGGGGCAGAGGGGAGGACGAUGAGGGGCAGCGCCGCCGCCGAGACCUCCGUUCCCCCGUCUCUGGGGGACCCUUCCUGCCCUCAGUGAGGGGCCCUUCCCCUUCCCCUUCCCGCCCCUGCGAGGGAUGCCCUCUCCAUCCCUCCUUCAGGUCACGUUAAAAUAACCCAGGGCCAUUUCCUGCUUGUAUUCCUUUAAAGUUCCGGGGUGCGUGUGGGAAAGCGGUUCCUUGUGUGGAGCUGGCCAAGAAGCCUUGCCGUGCUACCGUCUACCGUCACUAUUUUCUCUCUCAUUUUUUUUGUUUUUUUUUUUUAUUUUUAAACACAGCUAAAGUUCCUCUGACAGCUCUUAGCUCCGAGACAGACCUCCCUAACCUUCUAUGAGGAAAAAGAAUUUCCUUGGAGGAACAGGCAUCCCAGUUCCAAAGUAGUGAAGAGCAAGCAGAGAAAGGUGCAGUAGAACUGUCUAUGGUAUUUAUCUUACUUUUUUUGUUGUUCUUAAAACAGCAUUUGACAACCGUAAGUGGAAAAAUAAAAGGGAUGGUUUUGCAGCAUUAGCAGACACCAUCUCGUACAACCACAAAUUGAAGUAUUUUUUGGAAUAUUUUGGAAUGAUGAGGAAAGAUGUUGAUAAGGUGGCACAUUUAUGUUUCAGUUUCCAAGGCUUACUGUGUUUCUGUUGUUUGCAGACAGUGAAGGUUAUUGUCAGAACAUGGAGAUUGAAUUCCACAACUUCCCGCAGACUAGAAUGCUGGGUGGGAAUUGGCAGGUCAGAGGAGACUUUUGGAACACGUGUGAGAAAUGGGCUUUAUUACAGAAACUUCAGUGUGAGAAGUGAUGACUCCAAAGCGCUUGGGACUACUGAUACUGAAACGGCUGCGAUUUCUCGGGGAGCUCGGAAUGAAAAUCCAGCCUGCUCAUCUCUCUUUAAUGCAGAAGAAAAUGAAGAUUGUGGCUUUGUCCUAAACGAUCUCUGUGAUCAUAUCAUUGUGCGUUACCUUGGAACUUCCCUGUGAGAGAACACAGUGAACAUUCCUUGCUGAGGGAUGAGAACCAAAUCUUGCAUCCAUAGCGAGAACUGAUGUAAAACAAUGCCUUGCCCAGGUAUGCAGCUCCCUUAAGGAUAUCAUCUCUGCCCUGAUGACUGAUGUGUCCUGCCCCAAAAACCAGCUUGCUUGCUUCAGGUGAGGUGGAGAGAGCUCAUUAUAAACCGUGAUAGAAAUUCUAGUGCAAGGACUUGAUCAACAGCUUUUUACCAGAGGAAGGAGUGAUUUAAUUUUUAUCAGGGAACGGUUUCAGGCUUUUACUUUUGUUACGCUGCUAAAAGAAAAAGUGAUGCUUGAAAUGACUUGAAUCACAGUUCCAGGCACAAUGUCGGAUAAUGAAGGCAUAAAACAUUGUCUAAGGGAAGGCCUGCUUAUGUUUGCUGUCUCUGAAUCUGUUACUGUUGGGAAAACUGUUCACUGCUUGAAUAAUCUAUGGAGUUUUUAGCAAGCAGUGCAUGAGGAAUACUUUUAGGCCUCUUGAAAGAGAGAAGCGAUUAGUUAUUUUCAUUCCAAGUGUUCUGCUGAAAGUAGUCCGUAUUAGAUGCUGCAGUGCUGUCCUGACUGACAGUGUGUUUGUUGGAAGUGUUCUCUGAAAGCCCAGCACUGUGGAAAUUUAAGCAUUUUUAUACAUGCUUAAGAUAUUAAUCCGAGUGUUACCGUUAUGUAAAUUAUUCAGAAGAGCCGAGACUUUUCUGUGCUACCACCGGUGCAGAAAUGAACACGGUUCCAGUGAUUCUGAGGUGAUCCCAGCACUUUAGCCUUUAACCCAGCACUGGGAAAACUUAGGGAGUGAUAUUUCAGUAACCUUGACUGACCCUCACUGAAGUGGACUUUGGUUCUUUGUGUUUGUUUGUUAGUCAUAUAAUCUCCAAACCAUGUUGCAAACGGCCACAUUUUUACCAGGUGGAUUAUAGCAAAGAUUUAGGACUAGUACGUUCCUUUAAACUCUUCUUUUACUCUGCCUUAAGUCUGAAUGCAAAUGUGAAAAUGGUUUUGAUGUAUGUGUUUGACACAGCUGUUUUUUGCCUGUCUCGGUCUUCCUUUAAUUUCGGUGUAUUUACUCUGAUGUAGUAGCAUGAUUAAUUUUUUUUCCUCAAAACUUACCAUGUCUUCCUUAGAGUAAAAAUUGGCACUUUUUUCUCAGUUUUUUCCAUAAGGGACUUACAGCUAACAGACACUUGAUAAUGGAGUUGGAUCAAUUUCUUCUUGCUGCAGGUGAGACUUGUUCUGCACAAAUGGAUUAAAUUAUUAAGUGAGAUGUGCAUGCAUUAUUCUGAAAUAAUUACCUUACUUAACAGUAAAUUUCAUUUGGCAUGUGUAAAGGCCUGUUAAUGUUUGUAGUUUGAAAACACAAGUUAUAUCAUUUAAAGUAUUGAAAGAUCUGGAGGAAGUCUCUGGUAAUUAUCGAAUCCGUUGGGAAUGGCUGCUGUAGAUUUAUAAAUAAAACAACGGGUUUGAAAACUAAGAAGAGGCUCGAUGUGAAAAGCUUUUGCUCUGCUGCCAAGUACAAGGACUCCAGGUAUCUCAGGAUGAAAUCCCAUUCAAACAUAGUAAGGAUGGCGGAGCUGGAUCUCAGGUGUGUUGAUGUCAGAAUUCCAUUGAAGUUGACAGCUCUUCAGUUGGCCCUGACAUUCUAAAUUACAGUUUAUUUCUCUGCCUUUUUCCCCCAAACAAAUCUGUUUUAAAUACUUCUGUGAAGGAGAGUCGACUUCCUUGCUCAGCAGUCUCUUAACCUCGAUGGAGGUUUGAAUUUCAAGGCCCUUGAGGGUCUUGUGGUUUCAGAAAAUGGGAAGCAUUUGUGAGUGAGUGACAGUUCAGCACGAGAGCCCUGAAGGGACAUGAUAUUGUUAGUAACAGUUAUACCCAGAGACCAGGUGCAUGGUGGCAUCAGAACCUUCGGGGAAGCUGAAGUUCCGUUCUAUUUUUGCUUUGGGUACACAGAUGCUUUGUGAGUCGCUUUUACCUACAAAUCAUUUGAAAAUAUCAAUUUUGUUUCUCGCUUAUUAAAAAAACCUCGUGGCUGUUUUGCUGUGGCCUCCAGGUCCCCAAAGUUGUGCUGUGUGCCUCCGAGCAGGUGUUUCCAUUCCGGCCUAGGGUGUCUAGUGGAAAAUAUCCUUUUGCUUCCCAUUUCUGGAAGUGCUAAUGUCAUUCCUUGUCCAGCUCAGCAGGCUCAACCUGCAGGCAUUAUGUAGAUUUUUGCUUUGAGCCACUUUUGUAUAGUUAAAAGUGCUUCCUUCUUGUGUGUUUGUCUUCCAAAAGAUGAAAUAGGGGGUUUUGGCAGCCUUUUCUCCUGGGAGUUCAGCUAAAGGCAUAGUGAGUGGUAGUCUGUGCUCUUUGACAAUGUGGUUACUGGGAAGAAAAUGAGAAGACAUCUGUGAAAAAACAACAGGCAUCUGGGAGUUUGGGAGUUCAUCUCCCAAAUUUGGGAUAUGCCAUUUGGGGCAUUCUCUUUGUCUAGUUGAUCACCAGCUGGAAAUGCAGCAGACUAGCGGUGAAAGUCUGUCUCAUUUUGUUACUUGGGUGAGUAGUGGUCAUACUUCUUUG